UACAGAGGGUGCAAGCGUUGUUCGGAUUUACUGGGCGUAAAGAGUAUGUAGGCGGUAUUGAGAGUCAUAGGUGAAAGCCCCAAGCUCAACUUGGGAAUUGCCUGUGAGACCUCGGUACUAGAGUAUGAAAGGGGAUAGCGGAAUUCCAGGUGUAGCGGUGAAAUGCGUAGAUAUCUGGAGGAACACCUGUGGUGAAGGCGGCUAUCUGGUUCAUGACUGACGCUGAGAUACGAAAGCGUGGGGAGCAAACAGG
rnacentral:misc_RNA from 1 species